UACGUAGGGUGCAAGCGUUAUCCGGAAUUAUUGGGCGUAAAGAGCUCGUAGGCGGUUUGUCGCGUCUGCUGUGAAAACCCGAGGCUCAACCUCGGGCCUGCAGUGGGUACGGGCAGACUAGAGUGCGGUAGGGGAGAUUGGAAUUCCUGGUGUAGCGGUGGAAUGCGCAGAUAUCAGGAGGAACACCGAUGGCGAAGGCAGAUCUCUGGGCCGUACCUGACACUGAUGCGCGACAGCAUGGGGAGCAAACAGG
rnacentral:rRNA from 1 species